GGAAAAGAAGGUCCUUUUUCAUUUCUUUUCCUUUUCUCUCUCUUUCUUUCCCCCUCCCUGUCCCUGCAUUUCCUCCAUCAUUAACGUUGUUCUUCUUCUAAUACAGUAAACAUUGCAGGAUUUGAUAGGCUGCAGGAGAAAAAUUCAGGGCAUUUUUUUUAAUUAAUGGUGGUGGUAAAGUUUGAAGUUUUGAGAGCUAAAGAAGGGAUUGUUUGAGCUGUAUUCAUCAAACUUCUAUGCCAAGGAGGCCAAGAAGGGUGGUGAAACUGGAGUCUGCUUGCAAAUGUCAAAGUCUUCAUCCCCUAAAUCCAGGGUUAAAAAUGCUUCAUCUUCUUGUCA